UACGAAGGGGGCUAGCGUUGCUCGGAAUCACUGGGCGUAAAGGGCGCGUAGGCGGCCGAUCAAGUCAGGGGUGAAAGCCUGUGGCUCAACCACAGAAUUGCCUUUGAUACUGUUCGGCUCGAGACCGGAAGAGGUAAGUGGAACUGCGAGUGUAGAGGUGAAAUUCGUAGAUAUUCGCAAGAACACCAGUGGCGAAGGCGGCUCACUGGCCCGGAACUGACGCUGAGGCACGAAAGCGUGGGGAGCAAACAGG
rnacentral:rRNA from 1 species